AUUAUUCAUCAAGAGUAAGAUUAAUUUCUUCUCCAACCUGCCAGCUCCGGCAAGGUGGAAAAAUGAUGAGGCAAUCAGCAAUAUAGGAGAAAGG
rnacentral:ncRNA from 10 species